ensembl:lncRNA
AAGAGUUAGCAGGGGAAGUAGUCCUCAUGUUUGUGAUACCACCAAAAGCUUCAAUUAUUUUUAUAGUUAAAAAGUUGAAGGUGUCUCUGGCAACCUUUCAAGUCUCUUACUGGAUGAAGGAAAUAUUUUAACACUCACUAAAGUUUUCACAUCUAUGUCUUUGUUUAAUAUUUUGAGGAUUCCUUUGCUUGAUUUACCGCUGGUGAUCUCAGCAGUGGUCCAGGUACAUCUAGGGUCUCCGUUGACUUACCCGCGGGCCGGGACAGUAACCAGUCAGGCUGUGGGAGAUAUUGGGCAGCAUUGAGAGAGUGGAUGAAGAAGAGGAUGGGAAUAUAAAUGGGGGCCAGAAGCAUGGUGUAAGUAUGUAUAGAGUCAGGCUGACAUCUACCUCCUAGAUGAUCCCCUGUCUGUAGUUGAUGCGCAUGUGGGAAAGCAGCUUUUGAUAUAGUGAUUGGAUCCUCGGCCCUUUUCCAAAACAAGGAAUGACAAAGAUUUUUGAAUGUCUGACCAUAAAACUGUAUGAUUUCUUCACAAUAUGUGUCAAUGUUUGCUAAUAUUGAGCAUUCUGGAAAAAAUGGUGUAUAAAAGUAUAAGAUAUAUUUAAAGAAGAAAUAUUUAAAUGUCUU